UACGUAGGGGGCUAGCGUUGUCCGGAAUCAUUGGGCGUAAAGCGCGUGUAGGCGGCCCGGUAAGUCCGCUGUGAAAGUCGGGGGCUCAACCCUCGGAUGCCGGUGGAUACUGUCGGGCUUGAGUACGGAAGAGGCGAGUGGAAUUCCUGGUGUAGCGGUGAAAUGCGCAGAUAUCAGGAGGAACACCGAUUGCGAAGGCAGCUCGCUGGGACGUUACUGACGCUGAGACGCGAAAGCGUGGGGAGCAAACAGGAUUAGAAACCCUA
rnacentral:rRNA from 1 species